rnacentral:rRNA from 1 species
GAGUUUGAUCCUGGYUCAKAACGAACGCUGGCGGCGWGCUUAGCACAUGCAAGUCGAACGUGAUCCGGAGCUUGCUCCGGUGAAAGUGGCGCACGGGUGAGUAACGCGUGGAUAAUCUGCCCUGGUAUCUGGGAUAACAUCKCGAAAGGGGUGCUAAUACCGGAUAAGCCUACGGAGCCCUCGGUCUCUGCAGGAAAAGGUGGCCUCUAUUUAUAAGCUACCGUAUCAGGAUGGGUCCGCGUACCAUUAGCUAGUUGGUGGGGUAAUGGCCUACCAAGGCRACGAUGGUUAGCUGGUCUGARAGGAUGAUCAGCCACACUGGAACUGAGACACGGUCCAGACUCUUACGGGAGGCAGCAGUGGGGAAUUUUGCGCAAUGGGGGAAACCCUGACGCAGCAACGCCGCGUGAGUGAUGAAGGCUUUCGGGUCGUAAAGCUCUGUCAGAGGGGAAGAAAUGAGCCUGGCUAAUAUCCAGGUUUCUUGACGGUACCCUCAAAGGAAGCACCGGCUAACUCCGUGCCAGCAGCCGCGGUAAUAC